GAGGUUUGAGGCCCCGUUUUGCUGCUCACUAGCUACAUGAUCUUGGGCAAGUUAUUUAAGCUCUCUGAGCUUCAGUUUCUUCCUCUGCAGAAUGGGGAUGAAAGUGGACUACUACCUCAUGGCAUGUUUUGAGGAUGAAAUGAGCUAAUAAACACAGUCUUCAGCCCUACAUUAGGAUGGCCUAAGGAAAACAAGAAGACUGAAUGAUAUUCCCUGCUGACUUAUAUAAGUUAUUAGUCUUCUAGAAGGAUCACAAGGAACCAGCAUCAAAGAAAUGGAAUCCAGCUAAUUCCCCCAAGAAACUGAAGUUUUCGGGACAUGACUUGUGAAAGGCAAACAUAAGCUGACAUCUUUUCACACUGAACAGCAAGAGCCAAAGUGUAUCCGAAAAGCCAUUGUCAAAACAAGGAGUGAGAACAGCUGGGGUCAAGACCUAAUGAAGGGCAUCACUCAGCCUCUUUGAGCCUCGGAUUCCUCAUUUGUAAAGUGGGCAUAAUAAUACCUCACAGGGUAGUUAUGAGGGCAAAUGAGAUAAUGGACACGAAGGCACCUGUACACUCCACGGUGCUAUCAGAAUAUUGACUAUUAGUGCUUUCAUCACGCGGCUCCAUCCAAACCCCUGCUUUCCCUCACUCCAGUAAGUGGUUGCCCUCCACCCACCCCCCAUCUUCUAAUAAUGUAGACUGGAAACCCAAGCAUCAUCUUUGUCCUCCUUUUCAUUCCCUGACCCCAGUUGGUCUUCAUCCACAGUCUCUUUUUUUUUUUUUCUUUUUUGAGACAGAGUCUCACUCUGUCACAGAGGCUGGAGUGCAGUGGCGCGAUCUUGGCUCACUGCAACCUCUACCUCCUGGGUUCAAGCGAUUCUCCUGACUCAGCCUCCCAAGUAGCUGGGACUAAAGGUGCCCACCACCACACACAGCCACUUUUUCUAUUUUUAGUACAGACGAGGUUUCACCAUGUUGGCCAGGCUCCUGACCUUGAACUCCUGACCUGGUUUUGCUCCUGACCAGGCUCCUGGUCUUGAACUCCUGACCUCGUGAUCCACCUGCCUUGGCCUCCCAAAGUGCUGGGAUUACAGGCGUGAGCCACUGUGCCCGGCCCAUCCCUCAGUCUAUAUUUCCAUAACUGGAAGAAUCUCCUAAGUGGGCUGUAAUCUAGCCUUGCGUGACUCCAUCCUGCUCACUAAUAAAGAAAUAAUCCUCUUAAAAUCACACUUGGAUUAUUCUUUUCCGUUUUUCAGAAACUUUCAAUGGUUUCCCAUUGCCUGCAGAAUAAAGUCCAACCUUCAAAGUAGCUGGAAUUAAAAACCAUUAACAAUCUGGCCUCCCUACCUAAAUAACAUCAAUGAGAGGGCCACACAGAAGUCAGAUAUAUGGAAAUUAAAACAUGUUUUACUGGUGGAUAAAUGCUGUACUAGAGGAUAGGUUAUGUGGCCAAAAGAGUUUGCUGACAAUUUCUGCUUCCCAUUCCCCCAGUCUAGACCUUCAGACACAGUCCACCUGAGGCUUGUCUUCCUCUCCGUGGUCAUUUAGAGUUGAUCCUACUCAUCCUUUUCCCCCACUGCAGGCUUCCCAAGGGUUCCUGCAGCCCUUGGCAUCUGUCUCACUCACCUGUCCCUUCGCAUGUUCUGCCAUGAUGUUUAGCUUCUUUCUUGAGAGUAUGCCCUCUUCAUAGAAGUCAGAAACUCCUGGCCCACUGGCUAAACCUGAUCCCUAGAGGUUUUUCUGACUCUCACAAUGUUGGCCUGCACUGUGUUUGACAAUGCAUCAACUUACCUGACAAUUUGUAUUCUAUUUAUUUUUUUUUAGAAGAGGAGUCUCACUUUGUCACCCAGCCUGGAGUGCAGUGGUGAGAUCAUAGCUCACUGCAGCCUUGACCUCAUGGGCUCAAAAAAUCCUCCUGUUGGGACUACAGAUGCUCACCACCAUGCCUGGCUAAUUUAAAAUUUUUUUGUAGAGACAGGGUCUCACUAUAUUGUCCAGACUGGUCUCAAAUUCCUGGCCUCCACCAAUCCUCCCACCUCAUUCUCCCAAAGUGCUGGGAUUAUAGGCAUGAGCCACUGCGUCUGGCCUAUAUUCUAAAAAAAUUCUGCUGAGAAACUAGGAAAGCUAGCAGCCUUGGUUUCUCAGGUUUGACUUGCAACAAUUGACUUCUUGUAAAUGUUGCCUAUAUUGCUUUCUCUACCACCUCAACAUCAACUUUUUCCCAAUUCGCUCCUCAUAUUUCUGCUAUUUCAUGAAGAUUGCUCUUGUUAAUGUCACCAAGAGCCUCCACAAUUGCCAAAUCCAGUAGUUUGUCUCUGCUUUUGUCUUACUUGCCCUUUUGGCAGCAUUUGCCACUUAAUCAUGCUUUUCUUUUUUCUUUUUUAGACAGGCUUUUACUCUGUCACCCAUGCUGGAGUGCAGUGGUGCAAUCUUGGCUCACUGAAACCUCUGCCUCCUGGAUUCAAGCGAUCCUCCCACCUCAGCCUCCCGAGUAGCUGGGACUACAGGUGAGGGCCACCAUGCCUGGUAAUUUUUGUAUUUUUAGUAGAGACAGGGUUUCACCAUGUUGACCAGGCUGGUCUCAAACUCCUGACCUCAGGUGAUCUGCCCGCCUUGGCUUCCAAAAGUGCUGGGAUUACAGGCAUGAGCCACCAUGCCUGGUCGACACUUAAUCAUUCUCUACUUGUUUUUUUAAAAUUUUAUUUUUACAGUGUCACUCUCAGGAUAUCUACUUCUUAAAAUACUUUUUCUCCCUCUUGGAUUCCGUAACAACCCAUUUUGCGGGUCCCUCUUAAUCUGCUUUGCUGACUUCUGUCCGUUGUUCCAAGUCAGGUGGUCUCAGCUUGGUCUAGCAUCCUCUUCUCUAUUUGUACAUUCUUCCUAAAUGAUUUCAUCUAGCUUCAAAUCUUUAAAAGCCAUCUAUUUGCCAUGACUACUAACUUUGGAUUUGUAGCCUAGGCUCCUCCCUAGAACUCUACUAAUAGCCUACUUGAUAUCUAAAAAUGAAUUUCUUUCUUUCUCUCUUUUUUUUUUUGAGACGGAGUCUCACUCUGUCGCCCAGGCUGGAGUGCAAUGGCGUGAUCUUGGCUCACUGCAACCUCUGCCUCCUGGGUUCAAACAAUUCUCCUGCCUCAGCCUCCCAAGUAGGCAUGAGUAGGAUUGCUAAUUUUUGUAUUUUUAGUAGAGAUGGGGUUUCGUCAUGUUGGCCAGGGUGGUCUCAAAACUCCUGACCUCAGAUGAUCCACCUGCCUCGGCUUCCCAAAGUGCUAGGAUUACAGGCGUAAGCCACUGCUCCCGGCUAUGAAUUGAAUUUCUAAUAAGCAGCUUAAACUUAAAAAAGAAGUUUUGGAGUUUUAUCUCCCAAACCCCUGCUUCUUCUCCUCUUCUUCCUUUCUCAGUAAAUAGCACCACUAUCUACCCUCAGAGCAAAAAAAAAACCUAGUAGCUCUCUCUCCUCAUCUUCCACAUUCAAUCCCUCAACAAGUCUUAUGUUCCAAAAACACACUUCUCUUUAGCAGAUGCCAUAAUGUGCUACGCAGAGCCCUUCCCAGGACUGCAGGACUUAUUCCCACAGCUGCUGGGCAUGCUGCCACCUCACAGCCCUCUGCCCUCUCCGCAAAUUGCCCUCAGCUGCAGAGAGCCACCUUACCCAAGAUCACAUCCCUUCCUGCUUGCAUAUAAAGGCCCACUCCCUCAGUAACCCAAGACAACUCUGGAAGGCCACCCCAGCACAUCCCAGUGCUGCCUGUGGGGUCAGCUAAGGCCCUCAUGGAGACCUCCUCAGAGCCCAGCAUCUCCUCCUGCCUAGACUGUGUCCUUCCCUCCCCUUCUGGAAACCAAAUCUGCAACAUUAUCCCAAGUGUACCUGCCUCUUUCUAUCUUGCUGUUACGAUUUUGGUUAAGCCACCACCUUCUCUCACCUUGACUGCUGCAUUGCCUUUCCCCGUCUCCUUGCUUUUGCUCUUCAUUCGACCAUUCAUUUCUUUCACAACUGUCAGCUAUUCAUACUGUUUUGCUGUGUCUCCACCCAAAUCUCAUUUUGAAUUGUAACUCCCACAAUUCCCGCGUAUUGUGGGAGGAACCCGGUGGGAGGUGACUGAAUUAUGAGGGCGGGUCUUUCCUGCGCUGUUCUCGUGAUAGUAAAUGAGUCUCACGUGAUCUGGUGGUUUAUUUAUUUUAUUUUAUUUAUUUAUUUUUUUGAGACAGAGUCUCGCUCUGUCGCCCAGGCUGGAGUGCAGUGGCGCGAUCUCGGCUCACUGCAAGCUUGGCCCCCUGGGUUCACGCCAUUCUCCUGCCUCAGCCUCCCGAGUAGCUGGGACUACAGGCGCCCGCCACUACGCCCGGCUAAUUUUUUGUAUAUUUAGUAGAGAUGGGGUUUCACCGUGUUAGCCACGGUGGUCCCGAUUUCCUGACCUCGUGAUCUGCCCGCCUUCACCUCCCAAAGUGCUGGGAUUACAGGCGUGAGCCACCACGCCCGGCGAGAUCUGAUGGUUUAAAAAAACAAGAGGUCCCCUGCACAAGCUCUCUCUUUGCCUGCUGCCAUUCAUGCAAGAUGUGACUUGCUCCUUUUUGCCUUCUGCCAUGAUUGUGAGGCCUCCCCAGCCACGUGGAACUGUGGUGCAAAGGAUCAGCACGGGAGUUUUGACCUGCUCCGUUUCCGACCUGGGUCGGUUCACCCCUCCUUAGGCAACCUGGCGGUUCCCCGCUCCAGGGAGGUCACCCUCUUGAUGCUGAAUUUAGCACGGACACCUGAUGGGCACAGUGCACUGCAGCCCAGAGCUCCUGAGCUCAAGCCAUCCUCCUGCCUCAGCCUCCAAGUAGCCAGGACCACAGGCACGCACCCUGAGUACAGUCUUCCCAGCAAGAAGAACAUGAGUAUUCCCUCCAUCUGGGUCAAGAUUAGAGGCUGCUUUGAAGGAGCAAGGAAAAAUGUGGACUGUUCCCAAGUAUCACUGACUUUUCUGCUUAGCAUGGAAAAAUGUGUCACUUGAGUGUUUUCCUUUUCUUUCCAAGUUUUAUUUAUUUGAACUCAACAUUAUAGCAGCUACAAAAGAAAUUAUUAUAAAGAUUAAUGACCCACAAUUUAAUCACUUGGACACAACUGUUUUCUUCCUAUAUUUCUUUCCAUUCCUUAUCUAAAUGGGAAAUUAUUUUAUACAAUUGUAAUUACAGUAUAGAUGAUACUUUAAACAUUUAAACAUUACAUUAAAGACAAUUUUC
rnacentral:lncRNA from 1 species